AGAGACAGCAGUAGCCACGGUAAUACAGAGGGUGCGAGCGUUAAUCGGAUUUACUGGGCGUAAAGCGUGCGUAGGCGGCUUCUUAAGUCGGAUGUGAAAUCCCUGAGCUUAACUUAGGAAUUGCAUUCGAUACUGGGAAGCUAGAGUAUGGGAGAGGAUGGUAGAAUUCCAGGUGUAGCGGUGAAAUGCGUAGAGAUCUGGAGGAAUACCGAUGGCGAAGGCAGCCAUCUGGCCUAAUACUGACGCUGAGGUACGAAAGCAUGGGGAGCAAACAGGAUUAGAUACCCCCGUAGUCCCUGUCUCUUAUAC
rnacentral:rRNA from 1 species